CUGGCCCUUUUUUCUUCUUCUUUCUUAACUGUCGGAUAUGCAUUUCAUGAUAAAUCUUCUCAUUUCUUAUCCUAAUGAUGUUGUGUCUAAUUUAAGGGCAUUCCCACCCAAGCUUAUGGCUAUUUUUUUUUCUUCUGCUUGCUUGAUAGUUGGAUCUACAUUUCAUGAUAAAUAUUCUCAUUUCUUAUGUUAUAUUCAGUUUAUUGCAGAGAGCUUGUCAGAGGAAGAGAUAGUGGGCUUAAGAGAGAAAUUCUUAAAUACCUUGGCACAAUUACAAAAUUAGAAAUAAGACAAGUAAGUAGUUGGUAUAUUAGUCUCUUGUCUUUGAUGCUUAACACUUUUCUCCUUUGUCAUGUCUCUGCGCACUUACCUUAUUUGCAGUUUAUGCUAUAACCAGCAGUUUGCUUUUCUAUUGCAGAGGUACAUAAGAGGCGGUGAACUGAAAAAACUAUGAAGAAUUAUAAUAUGUGCAAUAAUUGAGAUAACAAUGAAUGGAAAUGAUUGUCCAAGUGGAUGCAUAUCAUAUGAGUAACUCCAGGAAAUGACUAAAUAGCUCUACUGUCUUAUGCUUAGCAUAAAUAAACUAUAAUGCAUUAUCGCUGUAAGGAAGAUGUAUUGACAUGAUGUUGCAUGUUAUGAACGGACAUCUUCCUCUGCCCCAUUUAUUCUUUCUUAUUUACUAAAUAUUCCACUUCAUAUUGGGUACUAAUUGCAUAAGAAAUCUUAUUUUGCAUACUACAUCCAGUAAUUAAGUGUUUCUAGGUAACUUAUAUUUGGAAUUCUUUUGUUACAGGUCCACAUUUGGGACAGAAAACAUGAUAUAACGUCACAUGAAAGAUGAAACUUGUUUACUGCCUUUUCAUCCGCAGGUGGAUAAUAUGCCUUCCAAUGAAGGAUCCAAUGAUUAGUUAUGAGUCCCUCAUUGCAAACAAAUAUCUAGAAUGACAGUGAAUGUUAGAUCGAGAUAAAAUUCAGUACAAUUAGUUGACAGACACAGACAAGGGCUUCACUCCUAUGAAGAUCUUUGUGGUAUGAUUAUAAUGCUAUCAUGCAAUAUUUUUGUUUUGAGAUUUGGUUCAAAUACUUAAAAAUCAUCUAUUUG
rnacentral:lncRNA from 1 species